rnacentral:misc_RNA from 1 species
UCCGGUUUGACACCGGCAGUCUCCCUAGAGUGCUCAGCUUAACCUGUUAGCAACUAAGGACAAGGGUUGCGCUCGUUGCGGGACUUAACCCAACACUUCACAGCACGAGCUGACGACAGCCAUGCAGCACCUGUCUUACCGUUCCCUUGCGGGCACUUCCUCAUUUCUGAAGAAUUCGGUAGAUGUCAAGUCUAGGUAAGGUUUUUCGCGUUGCGUCGAAUUGAACCACAUGCUCCACCGCUUGUGCGGGCCCCCGUCAAUUCCUUUGAGUUUCAACCUUGCGGCCGUACUUCCCAGGCGGGGUACUUAAUGCGUUUGCUUACGACACCGAAGGGGUCAAUUCCCCCGACAUCUAGUACCCAUCGUUUACAGCUUGGACUAC